rnacentral:tRNA from 1 species
UCCCAUAUAGUCUAGGUGGUUUAGGCAUACGUGGCUUUCACCGCACGCGACCCCGGUUCGAGUCCCCGGUGUGGGAA